CGUGGAGACAGGUGGUGCAUGGCUGUCGUCAGCUCGUGUCGUGAGAUGUUGGAUUAAGUUCCGCAACGAGCGCAACCCUUACGCUUAGUUGCCAGCAUUCAGUUGGGGACUCUAGGCGGACUGCCAGUGUAUAACUGGAGGAAGGUGGGGACGACGUCAAGUCAGCAUGCCCCUUAUGCCCAGGGCUACACACGUGCUACAAUGGCCGGUACAACGGGUCGCCACACAGUAAUGUGGAGCUAAUCCCUAAAAACCGGCCCUAGUUCGGAUUGGAGGCUGCAACUCGCCUUCAUGAAGUCGGAAUCGCUAGUAAACGUGGAUCAGAAUGCCGCGUUGAAUACGUUCCCGGGCCUUGUACACACCGCCCGUCACACCACGAAAGUCUGCUGUACUCGAAGUCGCUGAG
rnacentral:rRNA from 1 species